AUUGAACGCUGGCGGCAUGCUUUACACAUGCAAGUCGAACGGCAGCGCGGGCUUCGGCCUGGCGGCGAGUGGCGAACGGGUGAGUAAUACAUCGGAACGUGCCCAGUAGUGGGGGAUAGCUCGGCGAAAGCCGGAUUAAUACCGCAUACGACCUGAGGGUGCAAGCGGGGGACCUUCGGACCUCGCGCUAUUGGAGCGGCCGCUGGCAGAUUACAGAGUUGGUGGGGUAACGGCCUACCAAGGCGACGAACUGUAGCUGGUCACAGAGGACGACAAGCCACACUGGGACUGAGACACGGCCCAGACUCCGACGGGAGGCAGCAGUGGGGAAUUUUGGACAAUGGGCGAAAGCCUGAUCCAGCAAUGCCGCGUGUGUGAUGAAGUCCUUCGGGUUGUAAAGCACUUUUGGCGGGAACGAAAAGGAAUGUGCCAAUACCACGGUUCGAUGACGGUACCCGCAGAAUAAGCACCGGCUAACUACGUG
rnacentral:rRNA from 1 species